AUUGAACGCUGGCGGCAGGCUUAACACAUGCAAGUCGAGCGAGCGGCGGACGGGUGAGUAAUGUCUGGGAAACUGCCUGAUGGAGGGGGAUAACUACUGGAAACGGUAGCUAAUACCGCAUACCAUCAGAUGUGCCCAGAUGGUAUUAGCUAGUAGGUGGGGUAAAGGCUCACCUAGGCGACGAUCCCUAGCUGGUCUGAGAGGAUGACCAGCAACACUGGAACUGGAGCAAGGUCCAGAAUCCUACGGGAGGCAGCAGGUGGGAAUAGUGGACAAGGGGCGCAAGCCUGAUGCAGCCAUGCCGCGUGUGUGAAGAAGGCCUUCGGGUUGUAAAGCACUUUCAGCGAGGAGGCGUUACUCGCAGAAGAAGCACCGGCUAACUCCGUGCCAGCAGCCGCGGUAAUUC
rnacentral:rRNA from 1 species